rnacentral:rRNA from 1 species
CUAGCUGUAAACGAUGGGUACUAGGUGUAGGGGUUUCGAUACCUCUGUGCCGGAGUUAACGCAUUAAGUACCCCGCCUGGGGAGUACGUACGCAAGUAUGAAACUCAAAGGAAUUGACGGGGGCCCGCACAAGCGGUGGAGCAUGUGGUUUAAUUCGAAGCAACGCGAAGAACCUUACCAGGGCUUGACAUCCCUUGACAGCCUCAGAGAUGAGGUUUCUCUUCGGAGCAAGGAGACAGGUGG